UCCAGAUGUGGUCAUUCCAGAGCACUUUUUGAAGAAUGGGGAGUUUUAAAAGGGAGAAUCUUUUCUGCCAUUCUCAAUCGGUAGGAUAUGACCAGGACAGAGUUCCAAGAGCUUUCCAUCCUCUAUACUGGCCCCUCUAAUUGGGAUAUCAUCAGAUAACCCAUGGUGGCUCAAUUUACUUUGCUUGCAACCCAGCAUUCCCUGAACCUGACACUGCUUCAGACCUGCCCUAUUUUUCACCUUCCUUUGCUUCUGCUGGGGAUUUCAGCCUUGUUUUGUUUUUCGUUUUUUUUCCCACAAAACUAAGUAGAGAAACCCAGAUUCUGCCUUUUGCUCGCAGACAAAGCUAGACAUCUGUCAUCAUUACAGAUAUACUUAAACAUUCAAAGUUCUUUUUAAGGAGUGAAUCUUUACAGGGAUAUAGAGGUAAGUUUUAAUAAAGGAAUGGGGAGGAGGUGUGAAUAAGGGACUACCUACUUCUGACAGUGUGAACCUUGACAAUAGUUUUAAUGGAUUGGCCCCUGUCCUAUAAAUACUCCCUCAACAGAUUUUUUAAAUUAUAAUCCCUUUUAAAAAAUCUAGUAAUGUCUCUGCAUAUAUUGCAAGGCAGGCAAGGGGAUCCAGUGUUGAAUCUGUCUCUUCAACUUUCUAGCCAACCAGUUACUGAAGAUUGUGGUCAUAGUUUUGGGAAAUGAACAACUCAGUGUCCCCCAUGUAUUCCAGGUAUUGGCUCACAUAUGUUACCCAUGUUUUUCAAAUAAUUUUGCAGUUCCUUAAUUCCAGCAAUAUGUUCUGAGGAUAUAUUGCAUGACAAAUACACGCAUGAAAGCAUGCAAGUAGUAGAAUAGACAGUGAGGGAGAGCUGUCCCAUGUCCCGCUGCAGGUUUAAGCACUGCAGAGAUGAGGACACAGAACUAGCCAGAUGUGCUGCAGCUGGAGCUCCAGAUGAAAACCAAAUGUGGUACAGAAGCCACAUAGUGGAUUCUGGGCUGCCCUUCAUGUGUCAGGCUGGGCUGGUUCUGACCUCUUUCCUCCUGGGCUUGUCUGUCCCCUUGUUCACUGUUCACAACUCCCUUUCACAGGGAAGCUGAUGGGAGAUGAGAAUGCUGUCCAGUCUUGCUGUUUAUGGAUAGAUAAAAAGUUUUGAAUUACAGCAUAAAAUCUGAUACAUACUUCACAUGUUCUAAUUAUUCUUGGUUCUUGAAUCAGAUUCUGAAAGCCUAGAAAUAUGACUCUUGCUACAUUGCACAUAAGUGCCCAUGUGCUGUUUCCUCAGAGUGUGGUGAAAGGAAUGUGAGCAGGUCCCCAUCCAGGCCUUCCACAGGAUGAUAUUCCUCUAGGCCCACUGCUGCCCAUGUACAUGUCUUCUCUUCAUAGUGCAAAAUCCUUUUCCCAUCGUGGCCAUCAUGCCUCACCCAGUUUAAACUGUUCUCCUAUCUGUAUCAGCUGUAAAACAAAAAAGGCAACACAGAAAGACUCACUUAUGCUAUGCUACUAGGAAUGUUAUUACUUACUCUUAAUUAUAGACUUCAGGAGCAGGCAAACUAUCUCAGACAAUCACUACAGAAUUGUAAUUAUUAGUAAUUAAGGGAAUUAGUAUCUACACUCUUACCAUAAGAAAACUAGUGGUGCUGGGAAGAUGGUUCUGCAGAUAAGAGCUCUGGGUGUUCUUCCAGGGGUCCUGAGUUCAAUUCAAUGCACCCACAAGGCAGCUCAUAAUAUAGUGAGAUACGAUGUCCUCUUCUGGCAUGCAGAUGGACAUGCAGUCAAAAGCACCCAUAUAUGUUAAAUAAAUACAUCUUUUUUAGAAAGUUAAAAACAAGAAAACAGCUAAGAAGGGAGUUCUUUGCUACUCAAGACCACAUGCCCACAGAAUUGGCAGAAAAGGGCUCACAGUUUAAUGUGAAUUCACUGACUUCGUAUUAUUUGUAUCAGAUAAAAUCUUGCUAUAUAUAUAGCAAGCACCACAGACUGCAUUAUUUAGGAACAACCCAUUAAUAUUCAAAGGUUUCCAGGCCAGGUCACUGCGUCGGCUCUUCUUGGCAAACCUGACUUAUAUGAGCAGGAAUUCAGCUUAUUGACUGUUGCUCUAGGAUGGCCUCAGUGCAACAAUGUUGUUCUUCACAGCUUAUUUCUCAUUCUCCAUCAAAACAUCAGAAAAUUCUUUUUUUUUUAAAUAUUCUUUUAUUUAUUUAUUUACUUUCACUUAUCCACUUUACAUCCCACUCCCUGCUUCCUGUCACCCCCUCCCACAAACUCUUCCCCAUACUUCUUUCCCUUCUCUGAGUGGGUGGGAUCCCCUGGGUAUUCCCCACCCUGGCACAUCUAGUCUCUGCGAGGCUGUGUGCAUCCUCCCCCACUGAGGCCAGAUAAGGCAGCCUAGCUAGAAGAAUAUAUCCCAGGUACAGGCAAUGGCUUUUGGUAUAGCUCCUGCUCUAGUUUUUCAGGACCCACAUGGACAUUUGGUUCAAAAGCUUCACAUCUGCUACAUAGAUGUAGGGAGGUCUAGGUCCAGCCCAUGUAUGCUGUUUGUUUUGUGGUUUAGUCUCUGAGAGCCCCAAAGGUCCUCCUGUUGAGUUCCUAUCCCCUUCAGGGCUUCAAUCCUUCUCCCUAUUCUUCCACCAUCCCCUUCAGGUCUGCAAUCUUUCCCAAGCUCCAUCCACUAUUUGGCUGUAGGUAUCUGUAUCUAUCUAAGUUAGCUGCUGAGUAUGUUUCAGAGGACAGUCAUGCUAGACUACUUAAAGCAAUUGCACUAAAUUAGAGUCAAAACAAGGCUUUCCACUCUAUCUAUUCAGUAUAGUACUUGAAGUUCUAGCCAGAUCAAUAAGACAACUGAAGAAGAUCAAUUGGUUCUUGGAAUUGGAAAUUGGAAAGGAAGAAGUCAAAGUACCACUAUCUGUAGAUGAUGUAUACAUAAGUGACCCCAAAAAUUCCACUGGAGAACUGCCACAGCUGAUAAACACCUUCAGCAAAGUGGCUGGAUAUAAAUAAAAUUAACUCAAAAAAUCAGUAUUCAUCCUUUAUACAAAUGAUAAGUGGGCUGAGAAAGAAAUUAGGGAAACAAUAUUCUUUACACUAGCCACAAAUAAUAUAAAAUACCUUGGUAUAACUCUAACCAAGCAAAUGAAAGAUCUGUAUGGAAAGAACUUCAAGCCCCUGAAGAAAGAAAUUGAGGAAGAUAUCAGAAGAUGGAAAGAUAUCCCAUGCUCCUGAAUAGGUAGGAUCAACAUAGUAAAAAUGUCCAUCUUACCAAAUGCCAUUUAUUUAUUCAAUAGAAUUCCAAUCAAAUUUCCAACAAAAUUUUUAUAGACCUUGAAAAAGUGAGUAUCAGUUUCAGA
rnacentral:lncRNA from 1 species